AUUGAACGCUGGCGGCAGGCCUAACACAUGCAAGUCGAGCGGAUGAAGGGAGCUUGCUCCUGGAUUCAGCGGCGGACGGGUGAGUAAUGCCUAGGAAUCUGCCUGGUAGUGGGGGAUAACGUCCGGAAACGGGCGCUAAUACCGCAUACGUCCUGAGGGAGAAAGUGGGGGAUCUUCGGACCUCACGCUAUCAGAUGAGCCUAGGUCGGAUUAGCUAGUUGGUGGGGUAAAGGCCUACCAAGGCGACGAUCCGUAACUGGUCUGAGAGGAUGAUCAGUCACACUGGAACUGAGACACGGUCCGGACUCCUACGGGAGGCAGCAGUGGGGAAUAUUGGACAAUGGGCGAAAGCCUGAUCCAGCCAUGCCGCGUGUGUGAAGAAGGUCUUCGGAUUGUAAAGCACUUUAAGUUGGGAGGAAGGGCAGUAAGUUAAUACCUUGCUGUUUUGACGUUACCAACAGAAUAAGCGCCGGCUAACUUCGUG
rnacentral:rRNA from 1 species